AUUAAUUAAGAGAUUGGAAAUUAAUUAUUGUAGUUACAAAAGAAGCAUUGAUUUUUCGUUCCUUUUCUUGUUCUGUUUAUGUCUUGAUUCUUUUUGGGAUGACCUGCAAAGUGUAAUGAGUAUACCUGCAAGCAUGAUUGUGACUGCUCUUUUUGCUUUUUUUUUGUUUGUAAUGAUAAUUAAUCUUUGGCAGUUUGACUGGCCAUUAUGCAAAUUGCAAUUUUUGUGUGUAUGUGUUGAAAGCUUUUUCUUUUUUAUGCUUUCUUGAACUUGUCUUUCUGAAAUCACUUUUUGGUUUUGGUUUAUUGUAGUAACCAUUGAGAUAUCUUUUAUCAAUGUUUAAGCUCUCAAAUUCUGUAUAUAUUUACUUCUUUUGACAGUGAUUAACAUGAAAGAUUAAGUCUUUAUGCAUAGAUAAAGUAUCAAUUUCUUCUUGUUCCUUAUUUCAUCAGCAUUUGAGGGAGUUCCUGUUUGAAAGAAUAUUAUACCAAGUCACAUGAGACAAAGAGGGCGAUAGCUGGGACCUAUUGAUAUGCAUAUGCACCGUCCAAUUGAUAGCUCUAUCUAUAUGAGGACUGCCAAUAUGUUGGCAUGUCCUUCAGGUUCCUGCUGAUUGAAUGAUCCCUUUCAACUUUUGAUACCUGGGAUUUUUCUCUUCCACUCAGUGAUGACAGUUUAUGCGGAAGAGGUAUUGGUCAUCAUGCCCGGUGACGAUGUUCCUACCUUCCUUGCACAUCCAGCUCCUGCACCCCUGCCCUCCAGAGCGCAUCAUUAGGCCACUUCACCAUCAUAGUCUAUGCUACAGUUUCACCUCAGCCUCAACUUCAAGCUAAAAAAGAAACCUAACAUGACCUCAAAAUAACUAACCAGAGCAACCGAUUUUGCCAAAACUUUUCAAUCAUUGUCAUCAACCAAACUUGAUUUGAGCUGUGUACAUUACUGAACAUGAAUUAGUGUACACUUGAAUUCAAUGAUUAAAUGCAAGUUGUCUUUGCUUCUGCAAGGUCUAAAUCAA